rnacentral:precursor_RNA from 8 species
UUUUCCUGCUUUUUUUUUACGGCUGCAAUAUACAUUCAUUGAUGUCGUUGGGUUUCACAUGUGAGCGACUCACUGACCAAUGAGUGCAAACUGCAGUAGGAACAAUGAAACGGCAUCUGG